rnacentral:rRNA from 1 species
GACGAACGCUGGCGGCGUGCUUAACACAUGCAAGUGGAGCGACGAACCAGGGCUUGCCCUGGGGCAGAGCCGCGAACGGGUGAGUAACACGUGGGUAACGUGCCCCGAUGACUGGGACAACCCGGGGAAACCCGGGCUAAUACCGGAUGUGCCCCCUCACAUCAGUGAGGUGUGUAAAGGAAGCUUCGGCCUCCGCAUCGGGAUCGGCCCGCGGCCCAUUAGCUUGUUGGUGAGGUAACGGCUCACCAAGGCUGCGAUGGGUAGCUGGUCUGAGAGGACGAUCAGCCACACUGGGACUGAGACACGGCCCAGACUCCUACGGGAGGCAGCAGUGGGGAAUCUUGCGCAAUGCGCGAAAGCGUGACGCAGCAACGCCGCGUGGGGGAAGACGGCCUUCGGGCUGUAAACCCCUUUCAGUUGGGACGAAGGUCGGGCGGUCAACAGCCGUUCCGGCUGACGGUACCUUCACAAGAAGCCCCGGCUAACUACGUG